rnacentral:rRNA from 1 species
GCGUAAGCGCGCGCAGGCGGUCCUUUAAGUCUGAUGUGAAAGCCCACGCCUCAACCGGGGAGGGGCAUUGGAAACUGGGGGACUUGAGUGCAGAAGAGGAAGGUGGAAUUCCAAGUGUAGCGGUGAAAUGCGUAGAGAUUUGGAGGAACACCAGUGGCGAAGGCGACUUUCUGGUCUGUAACUGACGCUGAGGCGCGAAAGCGUGGGGAGCAAACAGGAUUAGAUACCCUGGUAGUCCACGCCGUAAACGAUGAGUGCUAAGUGUUAGGGGGUUUCCGCCCCUUAUGGCUGCAGCUAACGCAUUAAUCACUCCGCCGGGGGAGUACGGUCGCAAGACUGAAACUCAAAGGAAUUGACGGGGGCCCGCACAAGCGGUGGAGCAUGUGGUUUAAUUCAAAGCAACGCGAAAAACCUUACCAGGUCUUGACAUCCCGGUGACCUCUGUAGAUAUAUGGUUGUCCCUUC